ACCAUUUUUUUUUCUUUUUGUUUUCCUCUUCCUUUGCUCCCUGCUUCCAGCAACUGCACCUAUCUCUUCCACCACCCAACACUUUGCUGCAAAUGGCAAAAACAAGAUGAAAAAACGUAAUAAAACUCCUCCGACUUUUCCAUUGAUUCUCCAUUUUUAUUCUUUUUUUGAAAUCUUGUCUUCUCAUGAUUUAGUCAGGUGAACAUAAAAUGAUUUACUCUUACAUUUGAAAGAUUUCUCAAACAUCGUUAAUACACCCAUGACUAUCAAUGUUAAAACCAUGUUUAAAUCGAAGGCCAACCAAAACCCAUAACUAUGAACCGAUAGCAUAUCCAUAUGAAAACUCGAACAAACUCAUACAAAGAUCAAAGCUCAAAGCUCAAAGCUCAAAGCUCAAAUUUUGAAGCUCAAGUGAAUAACCAAAGAAAUGGAAGAACAAUUGUAAGAACUAAAACAUCUGAAAAAUAAAGUACCUUUGACCCAAAAUGAGAUCUUAAGGACAUUGGACAUACUGUUCCAUCUUCAACACCAAAAACAUCGUUGGAUGAAAACUUUGCUGACAAAUUAAAGCUCCCAUUUUCAAAAUUUGAUACCGACGGAGAAGAUUGAGAGGGCCCAAAUGGAUGUUUUAGAUUGUGUUUAUGUUAACGGGAAAUGAAGAGAGAUAGAGUUGUGAAGAUGUAAAAGAGACUGGAAAAUGUAGUAACGAGAGCUAAAGUUUCCGGAACGAAGAAGAAGAAGGUGUUGGAAGGGAAUAGGAGAGGCCAAUGGAGGAGAAUUGAAGGAGGUGCCAUUUGCUUUGGGUGAUUGUGAGGAAGACAUUGACUUUUUUUUUUUUAAGUUUGAAAAUGGGUUUCUCAAAACAGAGGCAACAUAUAAAAGCAGUGAGCAAAGAAAGAAGAAGAAGAAAAAAAAAAUGCUGGAAGCAAGGGGGUGGCUUUGAGGGAAAAAAUGGAUUGAAGAAGAAGAUGAUGAACAGUAAUAGGGGUUUAAAAAAAAGGUUAAAAUUGAUGACAUGGCAUACACAGUCGGCUAUCACGAGAAAUUCAACGAUUGUAAACCAUAAAUUAUUGUAAUAACAGUGAUUAAAUUACAAUUUUUUUAUUUAAAUGAUCAAAAUGAAAGUGUUCAAAAAAUUGGAUCACCAAUUAUAAAAUUUUCCCUAUAAUUUAUACAUACAUAACACGUGGAAAUGUGUUUGGUUUCAUCGUACACCAGGAGAUCUAUAAAAUGAAAACAGUUAAAUUCAAACAUGGAUUUCCUUUUUAUUAUUUUGGUACGUGUCAAUAUUUAUAUAUUUUGGUAUAUUAUUUUUAAAUAUUAUUAAAUUUUGUAAUGCGAAAGAAAAUAUUUUAUCUUAAUAAUAUACUUUUUAAAAGUUUAUUCAAUAAUUAAUAUAGGCAGAGUUGUAAAAAAAAUUUAUUCCAAAAUUAUUAAACACGUGUUUAGAUCAUUGAAUUUGUAAUUUUUUUUUCUUUUAUGUAAAGAUGAGAGCCCGGUUUAAUAUUGCAUUAAACACUUAGUUUUGUAGUUAAAGUGCGAAGGAAAAAUGUUUUUUCAGUUUCACUCAAUCGUGAAAAGCUAGGGUUUAAAUAUUUUUAGCUUUUAACUUUUACGUUUUCAAGUGCAAAUUAUCAAAAUAUUCUUAUUAUUAUAUUUAAAAUUUUAAACUAUUUCCAAUGUAAUUAAAUUUAUAAAUAAUAUAUUAAUUAUUUAAAAUGUAUAUUUUAUGUAUAAUUAUAUUAAGCUAUUUAAAUAUUAUCUAAAUUAAUUUAUUUUUAUUUUCCAACAUUCAUGGAAAUUUUAACUUUCCACUAUAAUUUUUUUACAGUAAUGCUAAACAAUUUAAAUUAACAAACCACACUUUUCCCCAACAUUUUUUCAAAUCGGUCUUUUCAAAAACACUUUUCAACCACGUCAACAAUGUUAAACUAGCUCAAUAUAAAAACAUUAAAAGACAAAAGUAUCAUUACAAUACUAUUAAUUAUAAUUUAAAAGGAGUAUUUCUAUAAAUAUAAUAUAAAAAUAUGAAAAGAUAAAAGUACAAUCAUAAUAAUUUUAAUUAUAAUUUUAAAAAAUAAACGUUUUUGUAAUUUCAUAACUGAGUUCAUGAAUUAAUUAAAAAUAACAUCUAUUUAAAUAUAAGUAUUAGUUAUAUUUUUGGCAUAAUAUUUAAAAUUCUGUUUAGUAUCAUCAGAUCAUUAUCCCUUCGAGAAAAGAAAAGGUUAGACGAAAUUUAAGUUAUAAUUAUAAUAACAAUAAAAAUAAAGAUAUUUAAAUCAAUUAAUAUUUAUUUUAAAAUUAAAAUAAAAUUAUUAAUUUACUUUUUUUAACUUUUUGGUCUAUAUUUUUUUAAUACUAUUUUGGGCCGAAGGUGGUGUAUAAAACCCUUCCAAUAAUAAUUUUAAUCUUCAAAACUUUAAGGAAAAUUUUAUUUCCACUUUUUCUAAUCACUUAUAAGUAAAAAAUAAUUUUAUUUAAAAUGGUAAAAAAACCACAAUGUUUUUACAAAACUUUUUGGACUGGUAAAAUUGAAAUUUAUUAUUGUUUUAACCAGUGAUAAAUUUCAUCUUGUUGAACCUAAUUAUCUAAAAUUGAGAAAUUGAUAAUAAGAUUACCUCUAUAUUACAAAAUCCUAACACUAUUACAAAUGUAACAUUUUCGGCUCAAAGUAAUCUUUCAAAAUACAAAUAAGGGAAUGUAAUUCCAUGAUCUUAUAUUACUGGGAAAAUAAGACUUCACGAAUAAAAAACUCUAAAUGAUUUUACAUUCUAAUUAUUUAAAAAUAAUAUUACAUUCUGUAAACCAAACACCUUCGAAUACAAGUGUAAAACGAGUUGAAACAUAAGCAUUUGGUAUCCCAUAUAAAAAAAGCCAAAUAACAUUACAAUAUACACAGAGAUAGAUGAAUAAAUAAAUGGGUCGAUUACGCCCCUACGUUUUCAUAUUAUGAUCUAAAUUUUAAAAUAUUUUAAUUGAGUCCUCUUAGUAUUAGUAUCAUAUUAAUUAAGUCUUUUUGUCAAUCUAACUAUCAUUUUAGGCGCUAUACGUUAGCUUGAAUCUAAUAUGAAACAUAUUUAAAAAAUAUGAAUUUCAAUGACAUUAGUUUUUGUAAAAAAUAAAAUUUAAAUUGUCUAUGCAAUAAAUAUACACGCGUUUAAAAUUUAAUUCACAUACUUUAAACAUGCUCUACGUUUGAUCCAUGCUGACACCUAACGUUAGACUAAUAAUGGAAGGACCUGAUUAAUAUGAUACUGAUACUUUAAGGACUCAAUCAAAACAUUUUGAAUUUAAAGAUGAAUUUAGAAAUAAAAGUAGUUGCUAAGAAAGCAAAGACCCUUCCUGCCUUUGAUGUUUUUAUAACAAAAAAGACCGAGCACAAGUGGCCCUUGAUGCACUUGUUCCUGCUGUACAUAUAAAUUGACCACUACUACCUGUUUUAAAGGAAAAGCCAAGAAGUCCCAACAUGAAGACUUCCUCUUAGAUAUUCUUGUCCUAGAAAAACUACAUAUUAAAUUGGCCCUAAGAUACCAUCCUAUCUUAUGUCUUUGCUUUAUCACCAUUAUUGGCCACUCUCUGGGCCCCAUUUCACCCCCCGACAACCAAUAAACCAAAAGCCUAAAGGUGGUUAAAAUCCAAACUAAAACCUACAAUCGCUUCCAUUCCAUAUAUAUAUGCAUAUCUUUCAUUUAACAUUCAACAUAUCAAUCACUCACUUACCACAGAAACUAUAAGCUUUUUCUUAGUGGGUGCCAUCUUUUUCAUAUGUCUUGGCUUGACAUGAAGGGCAUAAAACACCAAACUACAGUGAGGAAAGAUUAUUACAGUAAGACUUCGCAAUUUUCACUUAUUUUUUUAAACAAAAGAAAUCAAUUUAGAAAUGAUUGGCAAGUGAAAUUGUAAAGUAUUAGGAAGAUUUACUGGCAGGGCAAGUAAAAAGUUCGUUUUAUUCUGUGAAUAUAUGCGUCUUAUCUGCUUCAAACUCUGGUAAUCAGCUAGGGAGAAAGUCACCAAAGCUUAUGAUAAUGAGUCUGUAUUUGAUACUGCCGGUAUAUAAAUCUAUACUCUUAACAGUGAAUAAAUGCAUAUAUCUCGUUAAAAAAGCUUAAAAACAAGCACAUAAUAUUAAAAAUUUUAACAUAUGACAGUAACUUAUAAGCAGUACGUUGGAAGAUUGUAUGAUGAUUUUGACCAUGAAUGUUAGCACUUAUUAGAUAUGUCAACUCUGAAUUUCUUACUCAACUCCAAAAGGAAUCCAUGUAAAGGUGUUCUCAUUGCAGAAAGAUAAUAAAAGUGGAGAAUCCUAUAGCUUUGGUAAGUGGCAACAGUGAAGAUGAUAUAAGCUUUUGUCCCCCCCCCCCCCACCGCGCAAAAAAUCCCAAAGCAUUGCAGGCAAUGUGGGGUCUAAGAAAUGAAAUGUGAUAGAAAAUAAGGUUAGAAAAGGCUAAACAUCAUACCUCAUUCUUUCCAAUUUCCAUUUAUUCCACUUCUCCCAGUUUAAUCCAACUCUUAAAUUUCGAAAAUCCCUUGUAUUCUUUCACCUUCAAAAGGGGAAAAAAUGGUUUUCCAAAGUGAAGGAGCUGAAACUGAAAGUAGAUCCACUAAACAACAAAGCGAGCUAAGGGUUAACGAAGAUAGCAAUAUUGAAGCAAUAGAAGAAGAGUGGUUGAACCUGAGACUCGGUGGGAACUCAAUACCAGCACCUGGAGACUGCGAAUCGGCUUCAGACCCUCAGUUAAGACCAUCAGUUCCUUCCAAGGUUUUCUCCUGCAACUUUUGCAGGAGAAAGUUUUAUAGUUCACAAGCCUUGGGUGGCCACCAAAACGCCCACAAACGAGAGAGAGGUGCAGCCAGAAGAUACCAGUCCCAGCGGAUGAUGAUGAUGAUGGGUCUGCCGAUGAGCAAUCACGUUGUUCGAUCACUUGGUGUCCGACCACAUUCACUUGUGCACAAAUCAAGCAGAGAUGGAGCUGUUGCUGCUGCUG
rnacentral:lncRNA from 1 species